rnacentral:rRNA from 1 species
GCUAUACAUGCAAGUCGAGCGAACAGAUAAGGAGCUUGCUCCUUUGACGUUAGCGGCGGACGGGUGAGUAACACGUGGGUAACCUACCUAUAAGACUGGGAUAACUUCGGGAAACCGGAGCUAAUACCGGAUAACAUUUGGAACCGCAUGGUUCUAAAGUGAAAGAUGGUUUUGCUAUCACUUAUAGAUGGACCCGCGCCGUAUUAGCUAGUUGGUAAGGUAACGGCUUACCAAGGCGACGAUACGUAGCCGACCUGAGAGGGUGAUCGGCCACACUGGAACUGAGACACGGUCCAGACUCCUACGGGAGGCAGCAGUAGGGAAUCUUCCGCAAUGGGCGAAAGCCUGACGGAGCAACGCCGCGUGAGUGAUGAAGGGUUUCGGCUCGUAAAACUCUGUUAUUAGGGAAGAACAAACGUGUAAGUAACUGUGCACGUCUUGACGGUACCUAAUCAGAAAGCCACGGCUAACUACGUGCCAGCAGCCGCGGUAAUACGUAGGUGGCAAGCGUUAUCCGGAAUUAUUGGGCGUAAAGCGCGCGUAGGCGGUUUCUUAAGUCUGAUGUGAAAGCCCACGGCUCAACCGUGGAGGGUCAUUGGAAACUGGGAAACUUGAGUGCAGAAGAGGAAAGUGGAAUUCCAUGUGUAGCGGUGAAAUGCGCAGAGAUAUGGAGGAACACCAGUGGCGAAGGCGACUUUCUGGUCUGUAACUGACGCUGAUGUGCGAAAGCGUGGGGAUCAAACAGGAUUAGAUACCCUGGUAGUCCACGCCGUAAACGAUGAGUGCUAAGUGUUAGGGGGUUUCCGCCCCUUAGUGCUGCAGCUAACGCAUUAAGCACUCCGCCUGGGGAGUACGACCGCAAGGUUGAAACUCAAGGAAUUGACGGGGACCCGCACAAGCGGUGGAGCAUGUGGUUUAAUUCGAAGCAACGCGAAGAACCUUACCAAAUCUUGACAUCCUUUGAAACUCUAGAGAUAGAGCCUUCCCCUUCGGGGACAAAGUGAC